rnacentral:rRNA from 1 species
AUAGCGUAUAUUAAAGUUGUUGCAGUUAAAAAGCUCGUAGUUGAACCUUGGAUCUGGCUGCUCGGUCCGCCUAACCGCGUGCACUGAUGCGGCCGGAUCUUUCCUUCUGGCUAGCCUCAUGCUCUUCACUGGGUGUGUUGGGGAUCCAGGACUUUUACUUUGAAAAAAUUAGAGUGUUCAAAGCAGGCCUAUGCUCGAAUACAUUAGCAUGGAAUAAUAGAAUAGGACGGCGGUUCUAUUUUGUUGGUUUCUAGAGCCACCGUAAUGAUUAAUAGGGAUAGUCGGGGGCAUCAGUAUUCAAUUGUCAGAGGUGAAAUUCUUGGAUUUAUUGAAGACUAACUACUG